rnacentral:rRNA from 1 species
UACGGGGGGAGCAAGCGUUGUUCGGAUUUACUGGGCGUAAAGGGCGGGUAGGCGGCCACCGCAAGUCAGUUGUGAAAUCUCUGGGCUUAACCCAGAAAGGUCAACUGAUACUGCGGGGCUAGAGUGCAGAAGGGGCAACUGGAAUUCUCGGUGUAGCGGUGAAAUGCGUAGAGAUCGGGAAGAACAUCGGUGGCGAAAGCGCUCUACUGGACCACAACUGACACUCAGGGACGAAAGCUAGGGGAGCGAAUGGG